GCUCAGGGCCCGCGCCGCUCCGCACGGGUUUUGCACGAGGUGCCGGCAUUUGCGAGAGCUGCUGGGCUCCCGCCUGGGCUUUGUCACGUGACCCACUGACUUCAGCGAGACCCGGCUGAAACUUGGCGAGGGAGCGGGAGAGACCCGCACCAUCCAAUUUAGACUAUAAAUGCAGCCCUUCACAGAGAGAGAAACAGGCCCAGCGAAGCGAUACCACUCCAGGCGCAGGACCUCCUUCCUGGGUGAGGCAAGAGUUAGGUCUUUUAUCUAGCCCAGGAACGCAUGUAAAUGAUUUUUAUAUUCACAUCACAUGGCGUUGUGCCUUAACUUUGGACACUUAGGGGUUUUAUUUGCACAUCCCAAGGACAUUAAUACAUUCAAAUGCUUUCCUCCAGAGACUGUCUAGCUUACAAAAAGUUUGAGCUCAGAAACAAUACUGUCUGGGAGGCAAUGAAACAUAGCGCGCGCAAAAUAUGGUUGGCUUCCCUCCCUCUUCUAUCAUUUAAUUAGUCAGGUAGACCUCUGCUUUUCCAUCUGGAAAAUACAGAUUAUGCAUGCCUGUCUCACAAUGAAAUUUUAAGGAUCUAAUGGGAACAAGUAAAGAUAUUUUGUAGACUGGAAAAUAAUAUAAACAUGGGAUUGGAAAGCUGCCUGGGUAAUGGAAAACACUUGGGGAGCAUUUGAAACAAGUGAGGUAUCGAAUACUUGCCCAGGUGCGGAAUAACA
rnacentral:lncRNA from 1 species